rnacentral:lncRNA from 1 species
AUUACAACCCAGGUGCGAUGCGACACUCGGGCGUGUCACAUGCCCCUUUUGGUAAAAUGGAUUUGGGGCAGAACCUCUCUUUCUCUCUCCAUGCUGUGUCUUCACAGGAACGUUUAAAAGCAACGGAUGACCCAUCUGUGAAUGCUCCUCAAGAAACCAGUCAAGAUAGGAGGUGAAUCUACGUGCUGGCAGCUGUCGAGAUUGGUUGGAGGGAAGUCUUCAAGACAUCAUGAGUACCUGGGGUCCUGGCAGUGGAGACGAGGCCUCCUAAUCAUGGAAUCCCACAUUAUCCGUGACUGGAGAUGCAGGAUGCUCCUGUGGCAAGAUCAGCAGAGGCUCCUUCCCAGAAAAGACAAAGCGAUCGAAACUGAGAAAAAAAUAUUCAAGUGUGACAAAAAAAUUGAACCCAUCAAGUUUUUCCAAAUACGGUAGUCCACCCCUCGUCUGAGUUCCGACUUCCACGAUUUCAGUUACCCACGGUCAGGGGGGAUCCGGAAGCAGAUGAUCCCCCUCCUCAGGGAUAAUCUAAAGGUCAGUAGUAGCCUUACUUACUUACCACAUCACAGUGCCUACCUCAUUCACCUCACCUCAUCCCAUUGUGUAGACAUUUUAUCAUCAUCUCAUGUCAUCACAAGAAGAAGGGUGAGUAGCGUACAGUAAGAUACUUGGGGGGAGAGAGAGAGAGAGAGAGAGAGAGAGAGAGACCACAUUGAC